rfam:Solenopsis invicta Si_gnG.contig12179, whole genome shotgun sequence.
UUCUUUGGUAAUACAGCUCUAUGAGUUUGAUUAAGUAUCAUAAAGCUAGAUUACCAAAGCA